AUACGUAGGGGGCAAGCGUUGUCCGGAUUUAUUGGGCGUAAAGGGCGUGUAGGCGGUAGAUUAAGUCAGAUGUGAAAGUUAGGGGCUCAACCCCGAAAUAGCAUUUGAAACUGGUUUACUUGAGUACUGGAGAGGUAAGCGGAAUUCCUAGUGUAGCGGUGAAAUGCGUAGAUAUUAGGAGGAACACCGGUGGCGAAGGCGGCUACCUGGACCGAUACUGACGCUGAGACGCGAAAGCGU
rnacentral:rRNA from 1 species